rnacentral:misc_RNA from 1 species
GAUGAAGAACGUAGCGAAAUGCGAUAAGUAAUGCGAAUUGCAGAAUUCAGUGAAUCAUCGAAUCUUUGAACGCACAUUGCGCCCGCUAGUAUUCUGGCGGGCAUGCCUGUCCGAGCGUCAUUUCAACCCAUCAAGCUUAGCGCUUGUGUUGGAGCCCUGCGGCCGCCGCAGCCUCCUAAAAUCAGUGGCGGGCUCGCUAUCACGCUGAGUGCAGUAGUAUUCUUCUCACUCCUGUGGUGUAGCGGGUAACCAGCCGUAAACCCCCCCAUCUAUAAAGGUUGACCUCGGAUCAGGUAGGAAUACCCGCUGAACUUAAGCAUAUCAAUAAGCGGAGGA